rnacentral:rRNA from 1 species
GCGGCGAACGGGUGAGUAACACGUGAGCAACCUACCCUCAACUUCGGGAUAAGCCUCGGAAACGGGGUCUAAUACCGGAUAUCACUCCUUGCCUCAUGGUUUGGGGUUGAAAGUUCUGGCGGUUGGGGAUGGGCUCGCGGCCUAUCAGCUUGUUGGUGGGGUAAUGGCCUACCAAGGCGUCGACGGGUAGCCGGCCUGAGAGGGCGACCGGCCACACUGGGACUGAGACACGGCCCAGACUCCUACGGGAGGCAGCAGUGGGGAAUAUUGCGCAAUGGACGAAAGUCUGACGCAGCAACGCCGCGUGAGGGAUGACGGCCUUCGGGUUGUAAACCUCUUUCAGCAGGGACGAAGCGAGAGUGACGGUACCUGCAGAAGAAGGACCGGCCAACUACGUGCCAGCAGCCGCGGUAAUACGUAGGGUCCGAGCGUUGUCCGGAAUUAUUGGGCGUAAAGGGCUCGUAGGCGGUUCGUCACGUCGGGAGUGAAAACUCGGAGCUCAACUCCGAGCCUGCUUCCGAUACGGGCAGACUAGAGGUAGGCAGGGGAGAGCGGAACUCCUGGUGUAGCGGUGGAAUGCGCAGAUAUCAGGAAGAACACCGGUGGCGAAGGCGGCUCUCUGGGCCUUACCUGACGCUGAGGAGCGAAAGCGUGGGUAGCGAACAGGAUUAGAUACCCUGGUAGUCCACGCCGUAAACGUUGGGCGCUAGGUGUGGGGGACAUUCCACGUCCUCCGUGCCGCAGCUAACGCAUUAAGCGCCCCGCCUGGGGAGUACGGCCGCAAGGCUAAAACUCAAAGGAAUUGACGGGGGCCCGCACAAGCGGCGGAGCAUGCGGAUUAAUUCGAUGCAACGCGAAGAACCUUACCUGGGUUUGACAUAUAGGGAAAUCUCGCAGAGAUGCGGGGUCCGUAAGGGUCCUAUACAGGUGGUGCAUGGCUGUCGUCAGCUCGUGUCGUGAGAUGUUGGGUUAAGUCCCGCAACGAGCGCAACCCUCGUCCUAUGUUGCCAGCACGUUAUGGUGGGGACUCAUAGGAGACUGCCGGGGUCAACUCGGAGGAAGGUGGGGAUGACGUCAAGUCAUCAUGCCCCUUAUGUCCAGGGCUUCACGCAUGCUACAAUGGCCGGUACAAAGGGCUGCGAAACUGCAAAGUGGAGCGAAUCCCAAAAAGCCGGUCUCAGUUCGGAUUGGGGUCUGCAACUCGACCCCAUGAAGUCGGAGUCGCUAGUAAUCGCAGAUCAGCAACGCUGCGGUGAAUACGUUCCCGGGCCUUGUACACACCGCCCGUCACGUCAUGAAAGUCGGCAACACCCGA